AGCGAACGCUGGCGGCAGGCCUAACACAUGCAAGUCGAACGGAUCCUUCGGGAUUAGUGGCGGACGGGUGAGUAACACGUGGGAACGUGCCCUUUGGUUCGGAACAACUCAGGGAAACUUGAGCUAAUACCGGAUGUGCCCUUCCGGGGAAAGAUUUAUCGCCAUUGGAGCGGCCCGCGUCUGAUUAGCUAGUUGGUGAGGUAACGGCCCACCAAGGCGACGAUCAGUAGCUGGUCUGAGAGGAUGAUCAGCCACACUGGGACUGAGACACGGCCCAGACUCCUACGGGAGGCAGCAGUGGGGAAUCUUGCGCAAUGGGCGAAAGCCUGACGCAGCCAUGCCGCGUGAAUGAUGAAGGUCUUAGGAUUGUAAAAUUCUUUCAGCGGGGACGAUAAUGACGGUACCCGCAGAAGAAGCUCCGGCUAACUUCGUG
rnacentral:rRNA from 1 species